UACGUAGGGGGCAAGCGUUGUCCGGAUUUAUUGGGCGUAAAGAGCGUGUAGGCGGCCAGAUAGGUCAGCUGUGAAAACUCGAGGCUCAACCUCGAGAUGUCGGCUGAAACCAUCUGGCUAGAGUCCGGAAGAGGAGAAUGGAAUUCCCGGUGUAGCGGUGAAAUGCGCAGAUAUCGGGAAGAACACCCGUGGCGAAGGCGGGUCUCUGGGCCGAUACUGACGCUGAGGAGCGAAAGCGUGGGGAGCGAACAGG
rnacentral:rRNA from 1 species